UUCUUCUUGAGUUUGUUUGGGAAGUAUGACCUGCCCACUGAUGUAAAAUUAAAGGGCCGCGGUAUUUUGACCGUGCAAAGGUAGCAUAAUCAUUAGUUUUUUAAUUGGAGGCUGGAAUGAAUGGUUGGACGAAAUAUAAACUGUCUUAAUUAUAUUGAUUUUGGAAUUUAACUUUUGGAUUAAAAGGUUCAAAUUUUUUCAUGGGACGAGAAGACCCUAUAGAGUUUAACGUUUAUAUUUUUAUAAAUGAGUUUUGAUUAGUUAAUUUAAUUAUGGAGUAUAUCGUUUUGUUGGGGUGAUGGCGAGAUAAGUAAAACUCUCGUUUAUUUAUUUAAUAAUAAUAUUUAUUAUUUAGAUCCGGUAUUAUUGAUUAUAAGAUAAAAUUACCUUAGGGAUAACAGCGUAAUUUUUUUGGAGAGUUCAAAUCGAUAGAGAGGAUUGCGA
rnacentral:rRNA from 1 species